rnacentral:rRNA from 1 species
GACGAACGCUGGCGGCGUGCUUAACACAUGCAAGUCGAACGGAACGGCGGACGGGUGAGUGAGGCCUAUGAAUCGGCCUGGUAGUGGGGGAUAACGUCCGGAAACGGGCGCUAAUAACGCAUACUCUCAGACGAGCGUAGGUGGAAUUAGCUAGUUGGUGGGGUAAAGGCCUACCAAGGCGACCAUCCGUAACUGGUUGGAGAGGAUGAUCAGUCACACUGGGACUGAGACACGGUCCAGACUCCUACGGGAGGCAGCAGUGGGGAAUAUUGGACAAUGGGCGAAAGCCUGAUCCAGCCAUGCCGCGUGUGUGAAGAAGGUCUUCGGAUUGUAAAGCACUUUAAGUUGGGAGGCGUUACCAACAGAAGAAGCACCGGCUAACUCCGUGCCAGCAGCCGCGGUAAUAC